CGUGUUGCCACGGGCACGCACCAUCCAGAGGCUGAUGCGCUGCCGUAGCCAGGCAGGCAGGCAGGCAGGGAGACAGGCAGGGGGGCAGGAAGGGUGUUUCCCGAGGCUCUGCACCUCUCUGCCUGAUGUGUGUGCCAAUGGCCUGCAACCGGUCGGUGCAGGCUGGGCCAACACCCAGCCAUUCGCGGCGACAGGCGUGAAAUGUUAGCGCAGAACUCCCUUGGGCUGCGUAGCUCUGGCGUUUACCAUCCUCCGGUACAUGAGCGGCUGCUGCGGCGGCCAGCGGCAGAAGCACGGCCAGGGAGGCGGUGUUGACUGACGCGGCGUCGCACACCAGCAUUCUGCCUGGCCUGAAGAGAAACACUGUGAUGUUGUUUGGUCGGCUGCUGUGUCCUCGAUCCAGACCACGCGGCUCGUGGACGAGGAUGCCAUGGCUACCGAGCAGCUGCGGCCCGGCCCGCUCAACGAAUGUCGAGGAAAAUGUGACAAACAGGAGUAAGGAAGAAGAAGAAGAAGAAGAAGAAGAAGAAGAAGAAGAAGAAGGUGACAAGUGACAAGUAAAAAAAUCCUAAAAUAGAUUCAGGACUCCCUGCGUGUUCUGA